rnacentral:rRNA from 1 species
AUUGUAAGUAAAUAAUUAUUACGAAAGCAAAAAAUUAUGGCGGUAUUUUAAGCUUUUCAGAGGAAUUUGCUCUUUAAUGGAUAAAACACCUAAAUCUUACUUAAAUUUGUAAAACCAAUUUGUAUACCACUAUAAGAUUAAUUAUUCACUUUAAUUAAUAAAAUUUAUGGAAAUUAAAACAAAUUAAGUCAAGGUGCAGUAAAAAUUUAAGAAUGAAGUGAAUUACAUUUCUUUUAAGAAACUAAUAAAAUUAAAAUAAAAAUUAGGAUUUGAAAGUAAAAUUGAAAUAGGAUGUCAAUUUGAAUAAAGCUCUAAAAUAUGUAC